GUGGGGAAUCUUGCGCAAUGGGCGAAAGCCUGACGCAGCCAUGCCGCGUGGAUGAUGAAGGUCUUAGGAUUGUAAAAUCCUUUCACCGGUGAAGAUAAUGACUGUAGCCGGAGAAGAAGCCCCGGCUAACUUCGUGCCAGCAGCCGCGGUAAUACGAAGGGGGCUAGCGUUGCUCGGAUUUACUGGGCGUAAAGGGCGCGUAGGCGGACAUUUAAGUCAGGGGUGAAAUCACGGGGCUCAACCUCGGAACUGCCUUUGAUACUGGGUGUCUUGAGUAUGAGAGAGGUGUGUGGAACUCCGAGUGUAGAGGUGAAAUUCGUAGAUAUUCGGAAGAACGCCAGUGGCGAAGGCGACACACUGGCUAAUUACUGACGCUGAGGCGCGAAAGCGUGGGGAGCAAACAGGAUUAGAUACCCUAGUAGUCC
rnacentral:rRNA from 1 species